rnacentral:rRNA from 1 species
AGCAGUAGCCGCGGUAAUACGAGGGGGGCGAGCGUUGUUCGGAAUUAUUGGGCGUAAAGGGUGCGUAGGCGGUUUGGUAAGUCUCAUGUGAAAUCUUCAGGCUCAACCUGAAGUCUGCAUGAGAAACUGCCGGGCUUGAGUAUGGGAGAGGUGAGUGGAAUUCCAGGUGUAGCGGUGAAAUGCGUAGAUAUCUGGAGGAACAUCUGUGGCGAAAGCGGCUCACUGGACCAUAACUGACGCUGAUGCACGAAAGCUAGGGGAGCAAACAGGAUUAGAUACCCGUGUAGUCCCUGUCUCUUAUAC